rnacentral:rRNA from 1 species
UACGUAGGGGGCUAGCGUUGUCCGGAUUUAUUGGGCGUAAAGAGCGUGUAGGCGGCCAGAUAGGUCUGCUGUGAAAACUCGAGGCUCAACCUCGAGACGUCGGUUGAAACCGUAUGGCUAGAGUCCGGAAGAGGAGAGUGGAAUUCCCGGUGUAGCGGUGAAAUGCGCAGAUAUCGGGAAGAACACCCGUGGCGAAGGCGGCUCUCUGGGACGGUACUGAACGCUGAGACG